rnacentral:rRNA from 1 species
CAACGCGAAGAACCUUACCUACUCUUGACAUCCAGAGAAUUUGCUAGAGAUAGCUUAGUGCCUUCGGGAACUCUGAGACAGGUGCUGCAUGGCUGUCGUCAGCUCGUGUUGUGAAAUGUUGGGUUAAGUCCCGCAACGAGCGCAACCCUUAUCCUUUGUUGCCAGCACGUAAUGGUGGGAACUCAAAGGAGACUGCCGGUGAUAAACCGGAGGAAGGUGGGGAUGACGUCAAGUCAUCAUGGCCCUUACGAGUAGGGCUACACACGUGCUACAAUGGCAUAUACAAAGAGAAGCGAACUCGCGAGAGCAAGCGGACCUCAUAAAGUAUGUCGUAGUCCGGAUUGGAGUCUGCAACUCGACUCCAUGAAGUCGGAAUCGCUAGUAAUCGUAGAUCAGAAUGCUACGGUGAAUACGUUCCCGGGCCUUGUACACACCGCCCGUCACACCAUGGGAGUGGGUUGCAAAAGAAGUAGGUAGCUUAACCUUCGGGAGGGCGCUUACCACUUUGUGAUUCAUGACUGGGGUGAAGUCGUAAC